rnacentral:rRNA from 1 species
CCUACGGGUGGCAGCAGUGGGGAAUAUUGCACAAUGGGGUAAACCCUGAUGCAGCGACGCCGCGUGAGUGAAGACGUAAUUCGUUAUGUUAAACUCUAUCAGCAGGGGAGAAAAUGACGGUACCUGAGUAAGAAGCCCCGGCUCCCUACGUGCCAGCAGCCGCGGUAAUACGUAGGGGGCAAGCGUUAUCCGGAUUUACGGGGUGUAAAGGGGGCGUAGACGGCAGUGCAAGUCUGGAGUGAAAGGCGGGGGCUCAACCCCCGGACUGCUCUGGAAACUGUACGGCUGGAGUGAAGGAGAGGUAAGUGGAAUUUGUAGUGUAGCGGUGAAAUGCGUAGAUAUUAGGCGGAACACCAGUGGCGAAGGCGGCUUACUGGACUGUAACUGACGUUGAGGCUCGAAAGCGUGGGGAGCAAACAGGAUUAGAUACCCUUGUAGUC